rnacentral:misc_RNA from 1 species
UCCGGUUUGUCACCGGCAGUCUCAUUAGAGUGCCCUUGCGUAGCAACUAAUGAUAAGGGUUGCGCUCGUUGCGGGACUUAACCCAACAUCUCACGACACGAGCUGACGACAGCCAUGCAGCACCUGUGUUCCGAUUCCCUUUCGGGCACACUCACCUCUCGGCAAGCUUCCGGACAUGUCAAGGGUAGGUAAGGUUGUUCGCGUUGCAUCGAAUUAAUCCACAUCAUCCACCGCUUGUGCGGGUCCCCGUCAAUUCCUUUGAGUUUUAACCUUGCGGCCGUACUCCCCAGGCGGUCAACUUCACGCGUUAGCUACGGUACUGAGGAAUCGCUCCCCCAACACCCAGUUGACAUCGUUUAGGGCGUGGACUAC